AGAAUCAACGCUGGCGGCGUGCCUAACACAUGCAAGUCGAACGAGAAAGUGGAGCAAUCCAUGAGUAAAGUGGCGCACGGGUGAGUAACACGUGACUAACCUACCCUUGAGUGGGGGAUAACCUAGAGAAAUCUGGGCUAAUACCGCAUAAUACCUUCGGGUCAAAGGAGCAAUUCGCUUAAGGAGGGGGUCGCGGCAGAUUAGUUAGUUGGCGGGGUAAUGGCCCACCAAGACGGUGACCUGUA
rnacentral:rRNA from 1 species